UGAAGUAUAGCUCAGUAGUAGAGUGCAUGCUUAGCAUGCACGAGGUCCUGGGUUCAAUCCCCAGUACCUCCA
rfam:Camelus ferus unplaced genomic scaffold scaffold642, whole genome shotgun sequence.